UACAGAGGGGGCAAGCGUUGUUCGGAAUUACUGGGCGUAAAGCGCGUGUAGGCUGCUCUGCAAGUCGGAUGUGAAAGCCCUGGGCUCAACCUAGGAAGUGCAUUCGAAACUGCAGAGCUGGAGUCCUGGAGAGGAAGGCGGAAUUCUCGGUGUAGAGGUGAAAUUCGUAGAUAUCGAGAGGAACACCGUGGCGAAGGCGGCCUUCUGGACAGUGACUGACGCUGAGACGCGAAAGCGUGGGGAGCAAACAGG
rnacentral:rRNA from 1 species